AGUGAACGCUGGCGGUAGGCCUAACACAUGCAAGUCGAACGGCAGCACAGUAAGAGCUUGCUCUUACGGGUGGCGAGUGGCGGACGGGUGAGGAAUACAUCGGAAUCUACUUUUUCGUGGGUGAUAACGUAGGGAAACUUACGCUAAUACCGCAUACGACCUACGGGUGAAAGCAGGGGAUCUUCGGACCUUGCGCGAUUGAAUGAGCCGAUGUCGGGUUAGCGAGUUGGCGUGGGAAUGGCCCACGAAGGCGACGAUCCGCAGCUGGUCUGAGAGGAUGGUCAGACACACUGUGACUGGGCCACGGUCCAGACUACUACGAGAGGCAGCAGUAGGGAAUAUUGGACAAUGGGCGCAAGCCUGGUCCAGCCAUACCGCGUGGGUGAAGAAGGCCUUCGGGUUGUAAAACCCUUUUGUUGGGAAAGAAAAGCAGCAGGUUAAUACCCCGCUGUUCUGACGGUACCCAAAGAAUAAGCACCGGCUAACUUCGUG
rnacentral:rRNA from 1 species